rnacentral:lncRNA from 1 species
ACAUGUUUCUUUUCUUCUUAUGCCCAUUUGAUAGGCAGCUUCUGUCAGAGAAAGUCCACUGUGUCCAGUGGAAGCCAGAGGAGACUCCUUUCACAAGUAUGUUCAGAACUGACCUCCAGAAUGUUACCUGGAUAACUGGAUCAAUGGAAAUCCUCAAGGUACAAAGAGGAUAUUUUGAAACCAAUCUGUUUACAUCAGAAGUGUUGAACAAGUUUGUUAUACAAGAAAGGAAACAGUGGAAUGAAAAUCAAACUGACCCCAUCAGACUUCCUGGUCACAGAAAUGAUAAUCUGAUGGCGACCAGGCUGCAUCACUUUCCCUGGGGGUCAGUGUUUAGGAGACUGAGAGCUGGCUGAUUUGAAGGACCCUAGACUAAAGCAAGCAUACAUUGGACUGUCCUCUCUGGGGGGUCAGAUCCACUGCUCUGGACUGGACAUUGCAGAACAGACAAUGACAUUAUUAACACCUCAAAGGCAGGACUCUGUGCUGUGUCUUCACUUGAAGGCUUUCUUUUUCUGUAGGAAUGAGAUUUUUGUUACAUUCCUGAUCCCACGCCAUAGCUCUUUUAUUGAGGAAAAAUAUGAUUUAAAUACAAUGAGACAAAUUGAUAAGUCAGAGUCUGUCCCCAAAAACGCAUCAUCUGGAAAAUUAUCCUGAACUAUUAUCAAAAGCUAUUUCUACAAUCUUAACAUAGGUAGAGAACUUACCAAGUUAAACAUCAGAGGUGAAGAAUGGGUUCUAUCAACUGGAUUUAAUCAACAAGCUUUUUUCUUUUUAAGCUGAGAAGAGAGCUGAUAUCAACAAUAACCU